AGGAUGAACGCUGGCGGCGUGCUUAACACAUGCAAGUCGAACGGAGAAAGGGUAGCUUGCUAUCUUUCUUAGUGGCGGACGGGUGAGUAACGCGUGGGUAACCUGCCCUUUGCAGGGGGAUAACAGUGAGAAAUCACUGCUAAUACCGCAUACCAACUUCUUUCGCAUGAAGGAAGUUUGAAAGAUUUAUCGGCAAAGGAUGGACCCGCGUUGGAUUAGCUAGUUGGUGAGAUAACAGCCCACCAAGGCAACGAUCCAUAGCCGGCCUGAGAGGGUGAACGGCCACACUGGGACUGAGACACGGCCCAGACUCCUACGGGAGGCAGCAGUGGGGAAUAUUGCACAAUGGGCGAAAGCCUGAUGCAGCGACGCCGCGUGAAGGAUGAAGGUCUUCGGAUUGUAAACUUCUAUCAGCAGGGAAGAAAGGGCCUAUGGCCUAUGACGGUACCUGACUAAGAAGCCCCGGCUAACUACGUG
rnacentral:rRNA from 1 species